UAUAUCAGGUAAAUAGAGAGUUCGAUCAUGGCUCAGAUUGAACGCUGGCGGGAUGCUUUACAUGAUGCAAGUCGAACGGCACGGACUUCGGUCCGGUGGCGAGUGGCGAACGGGUGAGUAAUGUAUCGGAACGUGCCCAGUAGCGGGGGAUAACUACGUUGAAAGGUAGCUACUACCGCAUAUUACCCUUCGGGGGAAAGCGGGGAUCUUUCGGGCCUCGCACUAUUAGGAGCGGCUGAUAUCGGAUUAGCUAGUUGGUGGGGUAACGGCUCACCACAGGCGACGAUCCGUAGCUGGUUUGAGAGGACGACCACGGCAUUGGGACUGAGACACGGCCCAGACUCCUACGGAGGCAUCAGUGGGGAAUUUUUGACAAUGGGGAAACCCUGAUCCAGCCAUCUCAAGGUGUGCGAUGUAAGGGCUCUCGUUGUAAAGCACUUUUUGGCAGGAAAGAAACGGCACGGGAUAUGUCACUCGCAACUGACGGUACCUGCAGAAGGCACCGGCUAACUGGCUGCGCUGCAGCCGCAGUACAUGGGAGAGGCAAGCGUUAAUCGGAAUUACUGGCGUAAAGCGUGCGCAGUAAGGUUCGAAAGAAAGAUGUGGAAAUCCCAGAGCUUAACUUUGGAACUGUAUUUUUAACUACCGAGCUAGAGUGUCAGAGGGAGGUGAAUUCGCGUGUAGCAGUGAAAUGUAGAUAUGGAGGAACAACGAUGGCGAGGCAGCCUCCCGAUAACACUGACGCUCAUGCACGAAAGCGUGGGGAGCAAACAGGAUUAGAUACCCUGGUAGUCCACGCCCUAAAUUAGAUGUCAAUUAGCCGUUGGGGCCUUCGGGCCUUAGCAGCGCAGCUAACGCGUGAAGUUGACCGCCUGGGGAGCACGGUCGCGACAAAAACCCAAAGGAAUUGACGGGGAUCCGCACAAGCGGUGGAUGAUGUGGAUUAAUUCGAUGCAACGCGAAAACUCACUCACUUCCAUGUCUGGAAUCCCGAAGAGAUUGGGAGGUCGGCAAGAGAACCGAACACAGGUGCUGCAUGGCUGUCGCUGCUCGUGUCGUGAGAUGUUGCUAAGUCCGCAACGAGCGCAACCUUGGUCAUUAGUUGCUACGAAAGGGCACUCUAUAUCGAGAUCUGCCGGUGACAAACCGGAGGAAGGUGGGACAGACGGUUUGUCCUCAUGGCCCUUAUGGGUAGGGCUUCACACGUCAGUACAAUGGUCGGGACAGAGGGUCGCCAACUCCGCGAGGGAGCCAAUCCCAGAAACUCCGAUCGUAGUCCGGAUCGCAGUCUGCAACCUGACUGGUGAAGUCGGAAUCGCUAGUAAUCGCGGACCAGUACAUGUCGUGGUGAACAGCGUCUUAUCUUGUACACACCGCCCGUCACACCGCUGGCGGGUUUACCACAGUUAGUCAACUGGUAAGGAGGGCGAUUACCACGGUAGGAUUCAUGACUGGGUGAAGUCGUAACAAGGUAG
rnacentral:rRNA from 1 species